rfam:Stegodyphus mimosarum contig105524, whole genome shotgun sequence.
GCCUUCGUGGUGUAAUGGUAGCACACUCGACGCGCAUUCGAGAAGUCCAGGUUCGAGUCCCCGGGAGGGCA